rnacentral:lncRNA from 1 species
CGGGCCUUCUCGUGGCUACCUCUGUGCUUCCCUGAGACCUGAUUUGCGAGCCCUUUUUGCUGGUUUUCGCCAGAGGUUUUUUACCAAAUCAAAAUUUCAACCAUUGACUAACACAGGGGUUGAAGGAAGAAGACGGGGAAGUUCAGUGAUGGAUGGGAACAACAGUCUUAGAUGAUAGGGAUAAUUAAGAGGGCAUAGUUGGGGACUUGUGGUUAUUUUGCACAGCUCUCUACUCUCAGUCCAAUGUUUGGAAAUGAGGAUGCUCCAUGUGCUACCCUAAAGAACCAUUUAUAUGGCCACCCUGGCAGUACCAGCAAGUGUUCCUCCAGCUAUGCCGGCCCCAGCCCUAAUGGCAGUCUUAGCCUCGGUCCCAGCCCCAGCGCCAGCACUGGCUACAGCUCCAGCUCUGGCC